rnacentral:rRNA from 1 species
UACGUAGGUGGCAAGCGUUAUCCGGAAUUAUUGGGCGUGAAGAGCGCGCAGGUGGUUGAUUAAGUCUGAUGUGAAAGCCCACGGCUUAACCGUGGAGGGUCAUUGGAAACUGGAGGACUUGAGUACAGAAGAGGAGAGUGGAAUUCCACGUGUAGCGGUGAAAUGCGUAGAGAUGUGGAGGAACACCAGUGGCGAAGGCGACUCUCUGGUCUGUAACUGACGCCGAGGUGCGAAAGCGUGGGUAGCGAACAGGAUUAGAUACCCGGGUA